rnacentral:tRNA from 1 species
GGGCUGGUAGCUCAGUGGUAGAGCAGCGGUCUUUUAAACCGACGGUCGUGGGUUCGAUCCCCACCCGGCCCACCA